UACAGAGGUCUCAAGCGUUGUUCGGAUUCAUUGGGCGUAAAGGGUGCGUAGGUGGCGCCGUAAGUCAGGUGUGAAAUCUCGGAGCUCAACUCCGAAACUGCACUUGAUACUGCGGUGCUCGAGUACUGGAGAGGAGAUUGGAAUUUACGGUGUAGCAGUGAAAUGCGUAGAUAUCGUAAGGAAGACCAGUGGCGAAGGCGAAUCUCUGGACAGUUACUGACACUGAGGCACGAAGGCCAGGGG
rnacentral:rRNA from 1 species